AAUGGUCGGCAUGUUAUUGUCUGCCAAGUCACUCAAGCUGUUCAUGUCCUUCUCACUGCUGCUCUGUUUCUCUAGCAUCCUUCUCUGCUUUCAUUUGCAUUCUUUUUCUGCUAAGACCUCUCAGAUUUUCAAGUGAUUGGUUGUUUAGAAAAGAGAAAGAUUUCCAUUUAUGUAGUUCUAAACCUUUUUUAUUUUAUCCAUUUAGCCCCUAAAGCAAAAAAAAAAAAUUGGUUUACAAAGAUGCAAAACACUUCCUUACUAUUGCUUAUUAACAACGAACUCAUUAUCAAUUUACUGAUAAAGUUUAUCAUUAACAUUACUUAGCGUUUUCAAUGUCGUUAUUUCAUAUUGUUCUCUUCUCUGUAUACCUUAACUCUUGUCUUGUACUGUAGCUUCAGAACGCUUCCUUUCAAGUUCACCAGAGCUGGACCUGAAUUGCUCCGACUCACUGAGUCAUUGUCGCCAAGUUGGGGGGUUUUUUGAAGUUUAGUUGCCAGUUCACAUCUUUGGUGAAAGUUGGAAUUUUUCUUGUUUUGAUUGUAUUUGCAGUGUACUUGAAAUGUGACUAUGGGUUAGUUCUGGGAAAUAAAUGGAGUGGCCGAUUUUUCAGUCAUUUUCUACCAAAAAAAGGAUGAAUGGAAUGAUGCAUGAGAAACAGCGUUGCUGCUGGAGAAUCUGAUGGUUAAGAACAGAGCUCCAUAGGAAAAGGAUGUGAAUUUCUCUUCAUUCACAGGGAUAGAGAACAAAAAAUAAAAAUCGAGAACAAAAUCGCAUACAUGACCAUGAAGUAAUAAGGCUAUGUUUCCUUCCCAUUCAAGAAUCCAACACAGCUCCCUAGAAGCUGUGUUUGAAUUUGAAUGGACUAAGAAUUUGGUGCAUUUUGUUUGUAGUAAGUGUGAUAAAAUGUUUUCUGCUAGAUUAUUCAGGUAGUCUCAUGUUAUAGGUCCUCUAUUUAGAAAAUUAGAGAAUAAAUUUGUUGUCCUUUUUAGCCCUACUGAAUUCCAGGAUCUUAAGCUUGUGCAGGAUUACUGGCAAGUUUGGAAUAUAACGUAGAUUCCUUUUGUCAAACUUACAAAUUCUAAUGGAUAUCUUACCACGUAAUUUUGACCCUGCCAUUAAUGACUUGGACAACACAAAUAUCCCAAGCUCUUACGAAUUUAAAAGCAAGCCUGAUGGUUGGGAAACAACAACGAAGACACAAGAUGGAGAUAUAUGGGAAAUGUAACAGAGGAAGAUACUCUCUUCCAAGAAUUUGAUCAUUGAAUAGCAUACAGCAAAUUUCAGAUAGCUAGUUUUAUCGAGGAUCGCAUAUCUAGCAGGAGAAGACCUAUUGAUGGUUGGAAAUACAUGAUAGAGGUGUUGGGACCAAAUGCCAAGAAAGGGAGGGGUAGUGUUUCAAGAAUACCGAGUGUAUCAGAUCCAUCUACACAACAAUUCAAGAGGGACAGGAAACUGAUUUCCCACAAAGGGGGUACUUCAGCUUCUGACUCUGCUGAACUUUCCUUACUUUGUUCUUGGCCAUUGUAUGUUUGCUUGGUGAUCAAGCAGCAUGCCGUCAUGUUUUCUUGAUAGAGUGUUAUAGAAAAGACGUCCAAUAGGUUAAGCUACUCGUAGCUGUGAGGAAUAUAAAGCUCUGUCAAUCAAGAAAAUGGCAAUCUAAAUUUGUAAACCAUCGAUUCAUUGUGACUGUAAAUGUUGUAUAUGUAAAGAUCUCUACGCUAGAAGAUUGGUAGGGGUUUGAGAGGCUAAAUGUUGUCUGGUUAUUCAUUUGUGACCCCCAAACUGCUCUGAAAAAAUCAAAGCUACAACAGUUUUUUGA